rnacentral:rRNA from 1 species
GAUGAACGCUAGCGGCAGGCUUAACACAUGCAAGUCGAGGGGUAACAGGGGUAGCAAUACCUGCUGACGACCGGCAAACGGGUGCGGAACACGUACAGAAUCUACCUUGAUCUGGGGCAUAGCCCGGAGAAAUCCGGAUUAACUCCCCAUAACAUAAGAGAGUGGCAUCACUCAUUUAUUAAAAUUUAUUGGAUCGAGAUGACUGUGCGUCCCAUUAGCUAGUUGGAGGGUAACGGCCUACCAAGGCGACGAUGGGUAGCUGGUGUGAGAGCACGACCAGCCACACGGGCACUGAGACACGGGCCCGACUCCUACGGGAGGCAGCAGUGAGGAAUAUUGGUCAAUGGACGCAAGUCUGAACCAGCCAUGCCGCGUGAAGGAUGAAGGCCUUCUGGGUUGUAAACUUCUUUUACCUGGGAAGAAACCUCAGUUUUCUAACUGAGUUGACGGUACCAGAGGAAUAAGCACCGGCUAACUCCGUGCCAGCAGCCGCAGU